GACGAACGCUGGCGGCGUGCUUAACACAUGCAAGUCGAACGCUGAAGCUUGGUGCUUGCACUGGGUGGAUGAGUGGCGAACGGGUGAGUAAUACGUGAGUAACCUGCCCUUGACUCUGGGAUAGGCCUGGGAAACUGGGUCUAAUACUGGAUACGACAUGUCACCGCAUGGUGGUGUGUGGAAAGGGUUUUACUGGUUUUGGAUGGGCUCACGGCCUAUCAGCUUGUUGGUGGGGUAAUGGCUCACCAAGGCGACGACUGGUAGCCGGCCUGAGAGGGUGACCGGCCACACUGGGACUGAGACACGGCCCAGACUCCUACGGGAGGCAGCAGUGGGGAAUAUUGCACAAUGGGCGGAAGCCUGAUGCAGCGACGCCGCGUGAGGGAUGACGGCCUUCGGGUUGUAAACCUCUUUCAGCACGGAAGAAGCGAAAGUGACGGUACGUGCAGAAGAAGCGCAGGCUAACUACGUG
rnacentral:rRNA from 1 species